GAAAGUGUGGCGUAAUUGGUAACGCUGAUAUUCGAGACAGUAAAAUCUUUUUGCGAUGCUGCAGCUCGUACCGGUUCGAAUCCGGUCACUUUCU
rnacentral:tRNA from 1 species